GUGAGGAAUAUUGGUCAAUGGGCGGGAGCCUGAACCAGCCAAGUCGCGUGAAGGAAGAAGGAUCUAUGGUUCGUAAACUUCUUUUGCAGGGGAAUAAAGUGCAGGACGUGUCCUGUUUUGUAUGUACCCUGAGAAUAAGGAUCGGCUAACUCCGUGCCAGCAGCCGCGGUAAUACGGAGGAUCCGAGCGUUAUCCGGAUUUAUUGGGUUUAAAGGGUGCGUAGGUGGUUUGAUAAGUCAGCGGUGAAAGUUUGCAGCUUAACUGUAAAAAUGCCGUUGAAACUGGCGGACUUGAGUGUAAAUGAGGUAGGCGGAAUGCGUGGUGUAGCGGUGAAAUGCAUAGAUAUCACGCAGAACUCCGAUUGCGAAGGCAGCUUACUAAGCUACAACUGACACUGAAGCACGAAAGCGUGGGGAUCAAACAGGAUUAGAUACCCGUGUAGUCC
rnacentral:rRNA from 1 species